CAGUAGCCGCGGUAAUACGGAGGGGGCUAGCGUUGUUCGGAAUUACUGGGCGUAAAGCGCACGUAGGCGGCUUGGUAAGUUAGAGGUGAAAGCCUGGAGCUCAACUCCAGAAUUGCCUUUAAGACUGCCGAGCUAGCAGGUGAGAGAGGUAAGUGGAAUUCCGAGUGUAGAGGUGAAAUUCGUAGAUAUUCGGAAGAACACCAGUGGCGAAGGCGGCUUACUGGCUCAUACUGGACGCUGAGGUGCGAAAGCGUGGGGAGCAAACAGGAUUAGAGACCCGAGUAGUCCCUGUCUCUUUACA
rnacentral:rRNA from 1 species